CUGGCAUUGGCUGCUGUUGGAAGACAGGAUACUGGGCUAGAUGGACCUUUGGUAUGACCCGGAUUGGCUACAAGGAUUGUCUUUGGUGGGAGAUCUAAGACGCAGUACACCUGGGCGUGCCUUUCUUCUGAGGAUCCCAGAGUGCUUGGCACACAUUCAGGAAGCCUUGCCGUGUUUCCAGGAAGAAGCUAAUAUUUCCAUGUGACAGACGAGGAACCUGAAGCACAAACUGGGGAAAUACUUUCCCCA